GUUCACUGAGAUACAAACGCAGAACACCCAAAAUGAAGUUCAUCCUAGUCCUUGCUAUGCUAAUGGCCGUUGCUUAUGCUGAUGAUCUAACAAACAAGUUGCUGGAGAUACAGAAUGCUUUUGACAUUAGUCCGGAAGAGGCUCAUGGAUUUCUUUCCAAGGUUGUUGGAUUCGUUAAAGAUCACGCUGGAACCAUUGGAACUAUCGCCAAAGGAGUGAUUAGCAUUGCACUACUUUGAACGGGUAAAAAUUGGAUGAUUGCUCUGCCUACAGCAUAUUAUGCAAUAAUGCAAUGUUAAUUUUUUUUAAGAAAUUGUAUUGAAUUUUA